GCGUUGGUAGCGCAACGAUUAGCAUACGCUCUCGGGAAGAGUGAGAUCUGGGUUUGAAUUCCGGUUAACGCA